rnacentral:lncRNA from 1 species
CUAGGGCUACACCCAUGGCAUAUGGAGGUUCCCAGGCUAGGGAUCUAAUCUGCCACAGCAAUACCAGAUCCAAGUCACCACAGCUCAUGGCAAUGCUGGAUCCUUAGCCCACUGAGCAAGGACAGGGAUCGGACCCACAACCUCAUGGUUCCUAGUCGGAUUCAUUAACCACUGAGCCAUGAUGGGAACUCCUAUAUUUUAUAUAUAGUAGGGUGUAUAUGUCAAUCCCAACACCUAAUUUAUCCCUCCCCCACCCACAUUUUUUCCUUUGGUAACCAUAAAUUUAGUUUCAAAAACUUUGGGUUUUUUUCCACUUUGUAAGUUCUUUUGUAUAAUUUUUAUUAGAUUCCACAUAUGUGAUAUCAUAUGGUAUUUGUCUUUCUCUGACUUAUUUCACUUAGUGUGAUAAUUUCUACGUCCAUCCUUGUUGCUUCGAAUGGCAUUAUUUCAUUCUUUUUUAGCUGAGCAAUACUCCAUUGUGUCUAUGUACCAUAUCUUCUUUAUCCAAUCCUCUGUUGAUGGACAUUUAGGUUGCUUCCAUUAUUUGACUAUUGUAAAUAGUGCUGCAAUGAACAUUGAGGUACAUGUGUAUUUUCAAAUUAUGGUUUUCCCUGGGUAGAUGCCCAGGAGUGGAAUUGCUGGAUCAUAUGGUAGUUUUAUAUUUAGAUUUUUAAAGAACUUUCAUAAUGUUCUCCUUAGUGGUUGCACCAGCUUACAUUCCCACCAACAGAGGGUUCCCUUUCCUCCACACCCUCUCCAGCAUUUGUUGUUUGUAGACUUUUUGAUGAUGGCUGCAAAUACUGAUAUUUUAAUUGUAUUUUUCUGCUGUAGAACGUCCAUUUGAAUAUUUUCAUAGACAGAAGUCUGUCUUGAAAUUCUACUUCCUUACAUUUCUAAGUUUUCCUCAGUUUUCAGUAACAUUUUAAAUAUAGUUUAUUUAAAGUUACUGCCAAUAACUAGCUUAUCUGUGCAUCUAUUUGGAUUAUCUAUUUUUUCUCUUGAUUACCAGUCAUAUUUUUCAGCCUCGUUACAUGUCUAAUAACAUUUACGUUGAAAAUUGUGAAAAAAGAACUAAAGUGUGUCCAAAUGAUGUUACUGUUCACCUGAAAGGAUUCCUCCCAUUUUCUUGUUAGACACACUUAAUGAGACACUGAUGAUCUCAACUAAUUAGAGAUUGAAUUAUUGCAGGGUUGGGUUGAAGGCUUGGUAAGACUCAGUAACAUCUUGGUUGACUCCUGCUCCUCAGGCAUUGGCCUCCCUGGGUUUUUGACAAAAAGUCUGGUGAUUCUCUCUUCCACCUGGAAAGACUUGGGGGAUCAAGCUGUGCUAUCACAGGUUCCAAGGUCAGUUCUUGACCUUCAAAUCCUGGCACUUCUGUUCAUGAGGAGAUUAACUGUGAUUUGAGUAAACCACCCUCUAUCUCUAUCUUUGGUGAUUUCUUUUUUAUCCUUCUUCCUUUCUUUCUUUCUUUUUGUAAUUUUAGGGCUACACCCAUGGCAUAUGGAAAUUUCCAGGAUAGGGGUUGAAUCAGAGUUGAAGCCACCAGCCUACACCACAGCCACAGCAACGCCAGAUCUGAGCCAUGUCUGCAACUCACACCACAGCUCACAGCAACACCAGAUCCUUAACCUAAUGAGCAAGGCCAGGGAUUGAACCUACAUCCUCAUGGAUACUAGUCAGGUUUGUUUCUGCUGAGCCACAAAGAGAACUCCUGUUUUUUCUUAAUCUCCACAAAUUUAAUUCUCUCAAGUGUACAAUUUGUCACCCUAGCUUUCCAUGACAACCACAACUUUUAUUGAUUGCUCUUUCCUGGUAUUAGCUCUCUGCUUGGACUUAG